AGGCUCGUCAAUCGAAAUGAGUACAAUUUAAAUCCUUUAACGAGUACCAAUUGGAGGGCAAGUCUGGUGCCAGCAGCCGCGGUAAUUCCAGCUCCAAUAGCGAAUAUUAAAUUUGUUGCAGUUAAAAAGCUCGUAGUUGGAUCCAAGGUUAGGCAUGCCUGUCUGUUCUUAGUAGCAUGACUGUGUGUGUCUGCCUUUAUUAGUUGAAUGUUCAUUAUGGUGGUCUUCAUCGACUGCUAUGAUGUGCUCAACACGUUUACCUUGAAAAAAUCAGAGCGAUCAAGGCAGGCCUUCGUGCUUGUAUGUUGUUGCAAGGAAUAAUAGAAUAGGACUUCGGUUCUAUUUUGUUGGUUUUGAGAAUUGAAGUAAUGAACAAUAGAGACAGUCGGGGGCAUUUGUAUGGUGGCGUUAGAGGUGAAAUUCUGAGAUCGUCGCCAGACAAACUACUGCGAAAGCAUUUGCCAAGGAUGUCUUCGUUAAUCAAGAACGAAAGUCAGAGGUUCGAAGACGAUCAGAUACCGUCCUAGUUCUGACCAUAAACGAUGCCGACCUACAAUCGGGGGUGGUUUAUUAUAUUGACCCUCCCGGCUGUCCUCAGGAAACUUUAAGUUGGUUCUGGGGGGAGUAUGGUCUCAAGACUGAAACUUAAAGGAAUUGACGGAAGGGCACCACCAGGAGUGGAGCCUGCGGCUUAAUUUGACCCAACACGGGGAAUCUCACCCGGUCCGGACACUGGUAGGAUGGACAGAUUGAUAGCUCUUUCUUGAUUCAGUGGGUGGUGGUGCAUGGCCGUUCUUAGUUGGUGGAGUGAUUUGUCUGGUUAAUUCCGAUAACGAACGAGACUCUGUCCUGCUAAAUAGUCCAGUGGCAUCAAUCACUAUGUGAUUACAGCUGCUGUUACUUCUUAGAGGGAUUCGCGGAUUUAAACCGCAAGAAAUAGAGCAAUAACAGGUCUGUGAUGCCCUUAGAUGUCCGGGGCCGCACGCGCGCUACAUUGACAGUAGAAGCGAGUAUUUCUACCUGGUUCGAAAGAAUUGGGAAAUCUUCGAAUUACUGUCUCCACAGGGAUUGAGGUUUGCAAUUUUGCCUCAUGAACGAGGAAUUCCCAGUAGGCGCAAGUCAUCAGCUUGCGUCGAUUACGUCCCUGCCCUUUGUACACACCGCCCGUCGCUACUCCCGAUUGAGUGCAUUAGUGAGGACCUCGGAUUGAGAACAUAGUGGCGCAAGUUACUUUGUUUUCGAAAAGUGGUUCAAAUUUGUGCAUUUAGAGAUAGUAAAAGUCGU
rnacentral:rRNA from 1 species